CCUACGGGGGGCUGCAGUCGAGAAUCAUUCACAAUGGGGGAAACCCUGAUGGUGCGACGCCGCGUGGGGGAAUGAAGGUCUUCGGAUUGUAAACCCCUGUCAUGUGGGAGCAAAUUAAAAAGAGAGUACCACAAGAGGAAGAGACGGCGACCUCUGUGCCAGCAGCCGCGGUAAUCCAGAGGUCUCAAGCGUUGUUCGGAAUCACUGGGCGUAAAGGGUGCGGAGGCUGUUGCGUAAGUCGUGUGUGAAAGGCGCGGGCUCAACCCGCGGACGGCACAGGAUACUGCGAGACUAGAGUACUGGCGGGGGAACCGGCAUUCUCGGUGUAGCCGUGCCAUGCGU
rnacentral:rRNA from 1 species